GUCCACGCCGUAAACGAUGAUUACUAGGUGUGGGGGGAUUGACCCCUUCCGUGCCGGAGUAAACACAAUAAGUAAUCCACCUGGGGGAGUACGACCGCAAGGUUGAAACUCAAAGGAAUUGACGGGGGCCCGCACAAGCAGUGGAGUAUGUGGUUUAAUUCGACGCAACGCGAAGAACCUUACCAGGUCUUGACAUCGAGUGACCGCCUAAGAGAUUAGGCUUUCCCUUCGGGGACACAAAGACAGGUGGUGCAUGGUUGUCGU
rnacentral:rRNA from 1 species